rnacentral:rRNA from 1 species
UACGGGGGGAGCAAGCGUUGUUCGGAUUUACUGGGCGUAAAGGGCGCGUAGGCGGCCACCGCAAGUCGACUGUGAAAUCUCCGGGCUUAACCCGGAAAGGUCAGCCGAUACUGCGGGGCUAGAGUGCAGAAGGGGCAACUGGAAUUCUCGGUGUAGCGGUGAAAUGCGUAGAUAAUCGAGAGGAACACCUGCGGCGAAGGCGGGUUGCUGGGCUGACACUGACGCUGGAAGCGCGAAAGCGUGGGGAGCAAACAGG